rnacentral:tRNA from 1 species
AAGAAAGUGACAGAGUGGCUAUGUGGUUGACUUGAAAUCAGCAGAUGGGGGUUCGAUUCCUCCCUUUCUCG